rnacentral:rRNA from 1 species
GAUGAACGCUGGCGGCGUGCUUAACAUAUGCAAGUCGAACGGAAAGGCUCCUGCUUGCCGGGGUACUCGAGUGGCGAACGGGUGAGUAACACGUGGGUGAUCUGCCCUGCACUUCAGGAUAAGCCUGGGAAACUGGGUCUAAUACCGGAUAGGACCACAUUUUGGAUGGUGUGGUGGAAAGUUUUUCGGUGUGGGAUGAGCUCGCGGCCUAUCAGCUUGUUGGUGGGGUAAUGGCCUACCAAGGCGUCGACGGGUAGCCGGCCUGAGAGGGUGUACGGCCACAUUGGGACUGAGAUACGGCCCAGACUCCUACGGGAGGCAGCAGUGGGGAAUAUUGCACAAUGGGCGCAAGCCCGAUGCAGCGACGCCGCGUGGGGGAUGACGGCCUUCGGGUUGUAAACUCCUUUCGCUAGGGACGAAGCGCAAGUGACGGUACCUGGAGAAGAAGCACCGGCUAACUACGUG